AGGAUUAACGCUGGCGGCGUGCCUAACACAUGCAAGUCGAACGAGGGGGCAACCCCUAGUGGCAGACGGGUGAGUAACACGUGGUCAACCUACCGCUUUGUGGGGGAUAACUAGCCGAAAGGCUAGCUAAUACCGCAUACGUCUUUGGCCGGCAUCGGCUGAAGAUAAAAGGAGCAAUCCGCAAGGUGACGGGACCGCGUCCCAUUAGCUAGUUGGUGAGGUAAUGGCCCACCAAGGCUCCGAUGGGUAGCUGGUUUGAGAGAGCGACCAGCCACACUGGGACUGAGAUACGGCCCAGACUCCUACGGGGGGCAGCAGUGAGGAAUUUUCGUCAAUGGGGGCAACCCUGAACGAGCAACGCCGCGUGCAGGAAGAAGGUUUUCGGAUCGGUAAACUGCUUUUCGUCGGGGAAGAGAACGGACGGUACCCGAGGAAUCAACCCCGGCUAACUACGUGCCAGCAGCCGC
rnacentral:rRNA from 1 species